rnacentral:siRNA from 1 species
CAGUAGUAGAUCAUUUGGUGAU